rnacentral:rRNA from 1 species
GAUGAACGCUAGCGGCGGGCUUAAUACAUGCAAGUUGAGGGGCAGCAUGAUAUACGCGAGUAUAUUGAUGGCGACCGGCGGACGGGUGAGUAAUAGGUAGGAGACCUACCUCAUACAGGGGGAUAGCAUAGAGAAAUCUGUGGUAAUACCCCAUGAGGUUAUAUGAAUAGAGGCAUAUAAUCAAAGCAUAAGCGAUUAUGCGGUAUGAGAGGGGCCUACUGACCAUUAGCUAGUUGGUGAGGUAAGGGCUCACCAAGGCGAAGAUGGUUAGGGGUUUUGAGAGAGAGACCCCCCACAUUGGAACUGAGAGACGGUCCAGACUCCUACGGGAGGCAGCAGUAGGGAAUAUUGGGCAAUGGGCGAAAGCCUGACCCAGCCAUGCCGCGUGAAGGAAGACGGCCUUAUGGGUUGUAAACUUCUUUACUACGCGAAUAGAGGUUAGUACGAGAUACUAAUAGGAAGGUAGUGUAGUAAAAGCACCGGCUAACUCCGUGCC